rnacentral:lncRNA from 1 species
GUUUGGAUUGAACACUUGAUAUACUAUCAGUGGUGUUCACAAUACGAAUAAAAUACAGACUCUUAAGACUCUAGAAUUUCUAAGAUAUAAAAGUUUAUAAGAAAAUAUUAGUGAACUGAUGUGCAACAAUUUCAGCCGAGUUUUGGCACAGGUAAAUUAUUGUUCAGUCUCUACAAAUCUUCAAGUCUUCAUUCCUUUAUAUAGAGGUAUGAGACAUACGUUGUAGAAAUGCCAGCACAUCAAAAGAUUCGUUUUAGAAGUUUGAUCAUCACCAAUGAUCUAUUGCUUGAUUUGGUUAAUGUCCUAGGAGGGAAUAAUUUGAAAUCCAUUCCUUGUUUGGAGAAUUAAACAGUGUAGACACAGUUGUAGUUGUACUAUGUGCAGACAAGAGUCAAGAGUGGAGUAGUGGUUGUACAAUUGUCCUUUUUAUGCGCUCUUUAGUGAAUAAGUAUUCAAUGCCUUCUAAUUCCUCUGAAAUUGUCGUUGCUCUAGGCUUUUAUUCCUUCUCCAAACUUAUGUCUUAAAAUAACCAAAUAUAACUAACUCCAGGUUCUUAACUUGAAACUCUGACGAACUUCAGACUCUGGCAGUCAGCUUCUGAUGUUCUUCAAACUUUGAUGGUCUUCAGACUCUGACUUUCAACAUAAGCUUGCUUUGUAAAUUCCAUUGCUCUCAUUUGUUAUUACAGAACCAAUACUUAGUUUUAAGACUCGUAAAAUUUUUAGUCUAUGGUCCUGCACACUUGAACAAAUAUUAGCAUAGCCAAUUGAACUUUUAAUUUCAUGUUAUCAUCAAAACUUAAGCUGAAAAUGUUAAACAAAUUUUGUUCCAACAUAUUCUAGUUUUUAUUGAAGCAAUAAUUCUAUGUCAAGUCAAUUUUGAUUGUCAAGAGGAUAUGUGUUCCCCUCCUAAAAAGCCUUGGUGCGAUAUCUGAAUAUGAAUGUAUUUGUGUAAAUGUUCCCGUAAUUAUAUGAAUUUGUUGAAGUUGAUGAUUUUUGGAUAAUUAUUUUAUCAACAAAUAAUAUUUUAUUAAAAAAAAUCACAUCAUUUUAGAAUGUUUAAUAAGUGUGUUUUUUUUUUUUUAGGGAAAUAAGUGUGUAUUUUAUGGACCGUAGUUUUUCAUUUUUACAUCCAACCAACGGCCAAAUGUGAAGCAAUUUCUAAUAAAAGAGGUUGAAUGAAAAAAGUACCAUGAAAGCGAAUGACAUUUAAAAACUAAAUUUUACAAUAAAAAAAAUAGAAAAAUUACAUCAAAGUGCUAACAAAACAAUUCAUCAUAAUGUUGGGCUUAGAAAGCGAGCAUACACUCAGUUGUAUCAUCAUAAUCGACUAAGUAAGUAUUUCAUCAAUUCAGCAUAACACAUCGACAAUUUUCCAUUGUCAAAUCUCACCGAAGAUUUUUUUUUAUAGGCAAUGAGAUAAGUGAGACAACAAGUUGUUUCUGACAGACAGAUACCCCAUCCUAUGCCGCCUACUCAUAAUAUAUUAAAUCCCACCAAAGAUAAAGUGAUGUAAUUUCAAAUAAUAGAUGUUGAAUAAAAAUAAUUAGCGUCGAAACGAAUGACAUCCAAAAAUUAAAAUUUAAGAUUAAUUAUUUUUUAUGCAAAUGAUAUCCAAAACAAAUAAAACAUCUCAUCAUAAUAUUGUGACUGUUGGGGGAGCAUAAAUUGAGUUGGAUAAUCGUGUUAGGUUAAGAUCAACCAUAAUUUAAGAAUGCAAAAUUUUAACCAAUUAUUGGUACGACUAUCUAUACUAGUACAGGAGAAAUUGAUAUUGUUUGUAUCAACGAUAACACUAACUUAAGUAGUAGCCAUAGCCUAAUAAUCACAUCAAAUCUAACAAAUUUUUACCUCUUUAGUAAGUUCCACUUUUGUUUUUUGUAAGUUCCACUUUCUAUCAUGAAACGUUAAAGAAUAAAGCAAAUUUAAAAAAUUAGAAUGAAUUUCGAGGAUUGUUAAAAAGAAAAAUAUGUUACCUCCUUAUUGAGGGUGUUUAAAAGACAAACAUGACACUUUGAUGUCCUUAAGAGAGAUUUAAUUAUAAGCUUUUAUGUUAUCAUAUUAUUAUGAUUGUAAGUUUUUUUAUGUCACCUCUUUACUAAGGGUGUUAAAAAGACAAACAUGACUCUUUGAUGUAUUUAAAAGAGAUUUAACUGUAAGAUUUUAUGUAACCACUCUACCAUGUAAGAUAUUUAGUAAUGAUUAUAAUUUUAGGAAGGUUGUUAACAUCUUCAUAAGAUAUGAAAACUAUUUAAUGUACGUAAGGCAAAAAAUAAGUUUCAUAAAUAAUAAAUUGAUAAAAAUAUAUUCUAUCUCUUACAUCGAAAGAGGAGAAAAUAUGACUGAAAUUAUCAAGUUUGUUAAUGUUAUGAUUAUUUUGCUUUCAGUAUUUAUUAUUGCAAUGAACGUCAACGGUAAUCCAUUUUCUAUGUUACUCAAAUUUUAUUAGUUCCUUCCUACAUAAUAUUUUUCUCAUAUAGUUACACCCUUUUAUUAUUUAUUUUUUUAUUACAGCAUCACCAGUGUUAUGUCAACGCAAUUAUGAAUGUUACGAGCAAAUAUGCUUGCCUCCUAAAAAACAUUGGUGCAAUAUAUUAGAGCUAGUUCGGAUCAACGGAUUCUAUCUAGGCCUUUGUGCAUGUAUUUGAGUGAAUGUGCUUAUAAAAUUCUGCUAGAAUUUUCAUAAGUUGUCUUUUAGUAAAUGUGCAAGAACCCAUAAUUUGUAUUUUAUUCACUUUCUAAUUUCAUGGACCCAUGAUAAUUUGUAUUUUAUUUCGGGUCUGUCGCUAUUUUCUGACUCA